GAGUUAUGGCACAACACUGAUAUAGAUAUCUUCAGGAAUACGAACAUGUAUUGGUCAGCAGCUCUACAACGAUGAAGCCACUGGGCAUUUGUCUGUGGACAUUGCAGCUGCUAGGUGUAAUUCCUGUUAAAAGAGUGGCACAGACACAGCCUGGCUCAAAGGUGCAGUUAGCUGUGAGGUGACAAAUAAGGACACAACGCACACAGUAAUGGAUAUUAGUGGAUGGGACCAGGAGCCAGGGGACCAGAGAAUCACGGAAUCACUCUGAAGCUUGUUUCCUCAAAUCUAUACCACCUUUUGAGCCCACCUGCACCUCUCCCUGAAACACCAACAGCUGGCAUGUGGAAUCCACUGGAAAAUGAAAUUGGAAUUUAGUAAUUAUGUAUUUUAAAUUAUUUUAAGUUGCAAUUUUUUUUUAAUGUUUAUUUA